rnacentral:rRNA from 1 species
UUUAGACUGGAACAACUUACCGAAAGGUGAGCUAAUGCCGGAUGAGUUAUAUAAGUGCAUGUUUAUAUAGGAAAAGUUGGGGAGACCUGACGCUGAAAGAUGGACUCGCGUCCCAUUAGCUAGUUGGUAGGGUAAUGGCCUACCAAGGCGACGAUGGGUAGCCGGCCUGAGAGGGUGGCCGGCCACACUGGGACUGAGACACGGCCCAGACUCCUACGGGAGGCAGCAGUGGGGAAUUUUGCGCAAUGCUCGUAAGAGUGACGCAGCGACGCCGCGUGAAUGACGAAGGCCUUCGGGUCGUAAAGUUCUUUCGACAGGGAAGAAAAUGCCUAUAAGUAACUGUGUAUGUAUUGACGGUACCUGUAUAAGCAGCCCCGGCUAACUCCGUGCCAGCAGCCGCGGUAAUACGGAGGGGGCGAGCGUUGUUCGGAGUGACUGGGCGUAAAGAGCACGUAGGCGGUGUUGUAAGUCAUUAGUCAAAGACUAGAGCUCAACUUUAGUAAGGCUAGUGAUACUAUAAUACUAGAGUAUCAGAGAGGAUUGCAGAAUUCCUGGUGUAGCGGUGAAAUGCGUAGAUAUCAGGAGGAAUACCGUUAGCGAAGGCGGCAAUCUGGCUGGAAACUGACGCUGAGGUGCGAAAGCGUGGUAGCAAACAGGAUUAGAUUCCCUGGUAGU